CCUACGGGUGGCAGCAGUGGGGAAUAUUGCGCAAUGGGGGCAACCCUGACGCAGCAACGCCGCGUGAUUGAAGAAGGCCUUCGGGUUGUAAAGAUCUUUAAUUGGGGACGAAAACAAUGACGGUACCCAAAGAAUAAGCUCCGGCUAACUACGUGCCAGCAGCCGCGGUAAUACGUAGGGAGCAAGCGUUAUCCGGAUUUACUGGGUGUAAAGGGCGAGUAGGCGGGCUGGCAAGUUGGGAGUGAAAUCCCGGGGCUUAACCCCGGAACUGCUUUCAAAACUGCUGGUCUUGAGUGAUGGAGAGGCAGGCGGAAUUCCGUGUGUAGCGGUGAAAUGCGUAGAUAUACGGAGGAACACCAGUGGCGAAGGCAGCAUACCGGCGCCCGACUGACGCUGAAGCACGAAAGCGUGGGUAUCGAACAGGAUUAGAUACCCCAGUAGUC
rnacentral:rRNA from 1 species